rnacentral:rRNA from 1 species
CCUACGGGUGGCAGCAGUGAGGAAUAUUGGUCAAUGGUCGGGAGCCUGAACCAGCCAAGCCGCGUGAGGGAUGAAGGUACAGAGUAUUGUAAACCUCUUUUGUCAGGGAACAAAGGCGGGGACGCGUCCCCGGAUGAGUGUACCUGAAGAAAAAGCAUCGGCUAACUCCGUGCCAGCAGCCGCGGUAAUACGGAGGAUGCGAGCGUUAUCCGGUUUUAUUGGGUUUAAGGGGUGCGCAGGCGGUCUGUUAAGUCAGCGGUAAAAGGCCGGGGCUCAACCCCGGCCCGCCGUUGAAACUGGCAGUCUAGAGUUGGCGAGAAGUAUGCGGAAUGCGCGGUGUAGCGGUGAAAUGCAUAGAUAUCGCGCAGAACUCCGAUUGCGAAGGCAGCAUGCCGGCUCCAAACUGACGCUGAGGCACGAAAGCGUGGGUAUCGAACAGGAUUAGAUACCCCGGUAGUC